GGGAGAGGAGCCCCAGCCUUGGGAUUCCCAGGUGUUUUCAUUCAGUGAUCAGCACUGAAGACAGAAGACUCACCAUGGAAUUUAGGCUGAGCUGGGUUUUCCUUGUUGGUAUUUUAAAAGGUGUCCAGUGUGAGGUGCAGCUGGUCGAGUCUGGAGGAGGCUUGGUACAGCCUGGGGGGUCCCUGAGACUCUCCUGUGCAGCCUCUGGAUUCACCUUCAGUAGCUAUGGCAUGCACUGGGCCCGCCAGGCUCCGGGGAAGGGGCUGGAGUGGGUCUCCGCUAUUAAUAAUGGUGGGGGUAGCACAUGGUACGCAGACUCCGUGAAGGGCAGAUUCACCAUCUCCAGAGAGAACGCCAAGAACACACUGUAUCUUCAAAUGAACAGCCUGAGAGCUGAGGACACGGCUGUCUAUUACUGUGCGAAAGACACAGUGAGGGGGAGUCAGUGUGAGCCCAGACACAAACCUCCCUGCAGGAACGCGGGGGGAAAUCAGCGGCAGGGGGCGCUCGGGACCCACUGA